AACGGCCGCGGUAUCCUAACCGUGCGAAGGUAGCGUAAUCACUUGUUCUUUAAAUGAGGACUAGUAUGAAUGGCACCACGAGGGUUAAGCUGUCUCCUUUUUCUAAUCAGUGAAACUAAUCUCCCCGUGAAGAAGCGGGGAUUAUAUUAUAAGACGAGAAGACCCUAUGGAGCUUAAAACAAAUUAACACUUGCUUCUACCCAUUUUUACUCCUGAACUAACACAUAAAAUAUAGCAUCGUUGAUUAAUAGUUUUCGAUUGGGGUAAUCAUGGAGUAAAAACCAACCUCCACGACGAAAAGGAACACUUCCCUGAGCUAAAAGCUACAACUUUAAGCACUAAAAAAUUAACGCACUUUGACCCAAAUUUUUGAGCAACGAACCAAGUUACCCUAGGGAUAACAGCGCAAUCCAUUUCAAGAGCCCCUAUCGACAAAUGGGUUUACGACCUCGAUGUUGGAUCAGGGUAUCCCAGUGGUGCAGCCGCUACUAAAGGUUCGUUUGUUCAACGAUUAAAACCCUACGUGAUCUGAGUUCAGACCGGAGAAAUCCAGGUCAGUUUCUAUCUAUAAAGGGCUUUUUCUAGUACGAAAGGACCGAAAAAGCAUGGCCAAUGAUCAAUUAAGCCAUAUAAAUUACUCAUGUUUUCAACUCAAUUAGAAACAAACCUACCAUAAACCUCAAAAAAAGAGAAGUUAACGUAGCAAAACCUGGCCCUGCAA
rnacentral:rRNA from 1 species